GAUGAACGCUGGCGGCGUGCCUAAUACAUGCAAGUCGAGCGAACAGACGAGAAGCUUGCUUCUCUGACGUUAGCGGCGGACGGGUGAGUAACACGUGGAUAACCUACCUAUAAGACUGGGAUAACUUCGGGAAACCGGAGCUAAUACCGGAUAAUAUUUUGAACCGCAUGGUUCAAUAGUGAAAGACGGUCUUGCUGUCACUUAUAGAUGGAUCCGCGCUGCAUUAGCUAGUUGGUAAGGUAACGGCUUACCAAGGCAACGAUGCGUAGCCGACCUGAGAGGGUGAUCGGCCACACUGGAACUGAGACACGGUCCAGACUCCUACGGGAGGCAGCAGUAGGGAAUCUUCCGCAAUGGGCGAAAGCCUGACGGAGCAACGCCGCGUGAGUGAUGAAGGUCUUCGGAUCGUAAAACUCUGUUAUUAGGGAAGAACAAAUGUGUAAGUAACUAUGCACGUCUUGACGGUACCUAAUCAGAAAGCCACGGCUAACUACGUG
rnacentral:rRNA from 1 species